CUACGGGCGGCUGCAGUCGAGAAUCAUUCGCAAUGCGCGAAAGCGUGACGAUGCGACGCUGCGUGGAGGAUGAAGGCCCUCGGGUCGUAAACUCCUGUCAGGAGGGAAAAGCCGGCACUUGGUCAAUACCCUUGUGCCCCGAUGGUACCUCCAGAGGAAGCCACGGCUAACUCUGUGCCAGCAGCCGCGGUAAUACAGAGGUGGCGAGCGUUGUUCGGGUUUACUGGGCGUAAAGGGUGCGUAGGCGGCGUGCAAAGCUGGAUGUGAAAUCCCGGGGCUCAACCCCGGAACUGCAUCCGGAACUGGCAUGCUUGAGACCAGGAGGGGAGAGCAGAAUUCUAGGUGUAGCGGUGAAAUGCGUUGAUAUCUAGAAGAAUACCGGUGGCGAAGGCGGCUCUCUGGAAUGGUUCUGACGCUGAGGCACGAAAGCGUGGGGAGCAAGCAGGAUUAGAUACCCUGGUAGUC
rnacentral:rRNA from 1 species